rnacentral:rRNA from 1 species
GACGGAGGGUGCUAGCGUUUUUCGGAAUUACUGGGCGUAAAGGGCGCGUAGGCGGCCAGCUCAGUCGGGUGUGAAAGCCCGGGGCUCAACCCCGGAACGGCACCCGAGACGGGUUGGCUGGAGACCGGGAGAGGAGGGUGGAAUAGCCAGUGUAGAGGUGAAAUUCGUAGAUAUUGGCUGGAACACCGGUGGCGAAAGCGGCUCUCUGGCCCGGUUCUGACGCUGAGGCGCGAAAGCGUGGGGAGCAAACAGG